rnacentral:rRNA from 1 species
UACGAAGGGGGCUAGCGUUGCUCGGAAUCACUGGGCGUAAAGGGCGCGUAGGCGGCCCGUUAAGUCAGGGGUGAAAUCCUGGAGCUCAACUCCAGAACUGCCUUUGAUACUGAGGAUCUUGAGUUCGGGAGAGGUGAGUGGAACUGCGAGUGUAGAGGUGAAAUUCGUAGAUAUUCGCAAGAACACCAGUGGCGAAGGCGGCUCACUGGCCCGAUACUGACGCUGAGGCACGAAAGCGUGGGGAGCAAACAGG